rnacentral:rRNA from 1 species
CCUACGGGAGGCAGCAGUGAGGAAUAUUGGUCAAUGGGCGCGAGCCUGAACCAGCCAAGCCGCGUGAAGGAUGACUGCCCUACGGGUUGUAAACUUCUUUUAUAAAGGAAUAAAGUGAGGCACGCGUACCUUUUUGCAUGUACUUUAUGAAUAAGGAUCGGCUAACUCCGUGCCAGCAGCCGCGGUAAUACGGAGGAUCCAAGCGUUAUCCGGAUUUAUUGGGUUUAAAGGGAGCGUAGAUGGGUGGUUAAGUCAGUUGUGAAAGUCUGCGGCUCAACCGUAGAAUUGCCAUUGAUACUGGCAGUCUUGAGUACAGUUGAGGUAGGCGGAAUUCGUGGUGUAGCGGUGAAAUGCUUAGAUAUCACGAAGAACUCCGAUUGCGAAGGCAGCUUACUAAACUGCCACUGACGUUGAUGCUCGAAAGUGUGGGGAGCAAACAGGAUUAGAUACCCUUGUAGUC